AUGAACGCUGGCGGCGUGCCUAAUACAUGCAAGUCGAGCGAACAGACGAGGAGCUUGCUCCUCUGACGUUAGCGGCGGACGGGUGAGUAACACGUGGAUAACCUACCUAUAAGACUGGGAUAACUUCGGGAAACCGGAGCUAAUACCGGAUAAUAUAUUGAACCGCAUGGUUCAAUAGUGAAAGACGGUUUUGCUGUCACUUAUAGAUGGAUCCGCGCCGCAUUAGCUAGUUGGUAAGGUAACGGCUUACCAAGGCAACGAUGCGUAGCCGACCUGAGAGGGUGAUCGGCCACACUGGAGCUGAGACGCGGUCCAGACUCCUACGGGAGGCAGCAGUAGGGAAUCUUCCGCAAUGGGCGAGAGCCUGACGGAGCAACGCCGCGUGAGUGAUGAAGGUCUUCGGAUCGUAAAACUCUGUUAUUAGGGAAGAACAAAUGUGUAAGUAACUAUGCACGUCUUGACGGUACCUAAUCAGAAAGCCACGGCUAACUACGUG
rnacentral:rRNA from 1 species